AGAUAUUUGUCCUAUAUGAUGCAGGAUUUUUCACCCGGUGGUAUCUCUUUAACAGUUUUUGUUCAAACAAAAAGCUUUCCUUGAAGUACAGCCGUUAUUUUUAACCUCUAAAGCCAGAAGUCUUCCUGCUAAAACAACAAACACACUGUACAAUUUUGUAAAGCCUUUCCUAAUUCUAAAGCUAUUUAAUUUGUUUUAAUAUUUCUUUUUUUCUUUCAUUUUGCUUCUGCAAUUGGUCUUUAUGCUAAAGAAGAAGAAGAAACCUUGAGAAAAUAGAAGGCAACUGCUGUUUUCUGUUUUGCCAUCUGAUAACUUAUGGAAGCUUUAUAUUCUGAGCCAAAAGCAAAUGUAUGCAACAACCGCAGGAUCCUCAGUUAUACACCACUCCCAGCCUCAUUCCAAACCUGAAAUAAGAGAUGGUCUGGUCUGGUUUGGGCAAACAGUGUUUCCACAAUUGCACACGACAGAGAUAAUUUCAAGGCAAAUCAGACAUAUGCUGAAUCAAAAUGGAUGGAUCUUGCAAGAAGACACUUCCAAGGGUUAACAAGAACGAACUUUCAGCACAAAACCUGGAUCUGUGGCUCAGAUAAGAAAUGGAGCAUGUGUAGCAGGCAGUUGAUGUGGGUUCACUGCUGGCCAAACCUUGCCUGUUGGAACCUGUCCUCAGCAGUAUCUUCUGGGAGAACAGCACUUCCCUUCAAAAGAAGCAUUCUUGUGCGCUUUAAACAGGUGGAGGGCUCGAUACCUGGAUCAAGAAAAUAGUGCAUUUCAUGUGGGCUUUUCUUUCCCAAAUAUUUUUUCAAGUAAGUUAGGAGCAUAAACAGAGAAAAACUCUUCUGCUACAGUGUCACAUGGCGUACCUGCACUUAGUCUUGCCUUAAACACUGUGGCUUGAGCCUAUGCUACACACCAGCCUACAUAUUCUCAAUCCUCUUUCAGAAGAUCUAACAUGUAAAUAU